rnacentral:rRNA from 1 species
GAUGAACGCUGGCGGCGUGCCUAACACAUGCAAGUCGAACGGAGUCCAGCCUUUAAGACCUUCGGGUCAAAGAGGGGAAGACUGAGUGGCGGAUGGGUGAGUAACACGUGGGCAACCUGGCUCAUAGAGGGGGAUAACAGAGAGAAAUUUCUGCUAAUACCGCAUAAGCACACACUGCCGCAUGGCAGAGGGUGAAAAGAGAAUCGCUAUGAGAUGGACCCGCGUCUGAUUAGCCAGUUGGCAGGGUAAGAGCCUACCAAAGCGACGAUCAGUAGCCGAUCUGAGAGGAUGAACGGCCACAUUGGGACUGAGACACGGCCCAAACUCCUACGGGAGGCAGCAGUGGGGGAUAUUGCACAAUGGGGGGAACCCUGAUGCAGCGACGCCGCGUGAGUGAAGAAGUAUUUCGGUAUGUAAAGCUCUAUCAGCAGGGAAGAUAAUGACAGUACCUGAAUAAGAAGCCCCGGCUAACUACGUG